rnacentral:rRNA from 1 species
AAUAUUGCGCAAUGGGGGGAACCCUGACGCAGCAACGCCGCGUGAGCGAGGAAGGCCUUCGGGUCGUAAAGCUCUGUCUAGAGGGAUGAAUGAUGACAGUACCUCUGGAGGAAGCCCCGGCUAACUACGUGCCAGCAGCCGCGGUAACACGUAGGGGGCGAGCGUUGUCCGGAAUUACUGGGCGUAAAGCGCGCGCAGGCGGCUUGUUAAGUCAGGUGUCAAAAUGCGGGGCUCAACCCCGUAUCGCACUUGAAACUGGCAGGCUUGAGUGCAGGAGAGGGAAGUGGAAUUCCUAGUGUAGCGGUGAAAUGCGUAGAUAUUAGGAGGAACACCAGUGGCGAAGGCGACUUCCUGGACUGUAACUGACGCUGAGGCGCGAAAGCUAGGGGAGCAAAC